rnacentral:rRNA from 1 species
AACACAUGCAAGUCGAGGGGCAGCACAGGAAAGUAGUAAUACUUUUGGGUGGCGACCGGCGGACGGGUGCGUAACGCGUAUACAACCUGCCUUCUACUGGGGGAUAAUUCGGAGAAAUCUGGUCUAAUACCCCAUAACAACCGAUGAGGCAUCUCAUUGGUUUAAAAGCUCCGGCGGUAGAAGAUGGGUAUGCGUGACAUUAGAUAGUUGGUGGGGUAACGGCUCACCAAGUCGACGAUGUCUAGGGGGACUGAGAGGUUAACCCCCCACACUGGCACUGAGAUACGGGCCAGACUCCUACGGGAGGCAGCAGUAGGGAAUAUUGGGAAAUGGACGCAAGUCUGACCCAGCCAUGCCGCGUGCAGGAUGAAGGCGUUAUGCGUUGUAAACUGCUUUUAUACAGGAAGAAACGACUCUUGCGAGAGGCAUUGACGGUACUGUAUGAAUAAGCACCGGCUAACUCCGUGCCAGCAGCCGCCGUAA